GACCUGGGGUACUAAUGUAAGAAAUAACACGUAAAAAAACAAAAAACUGCAUAGUUUCCUAGGAACUAGGCGAGGUGGCCAUCUCUGUCGGCGCCGGAAGAUGAUGACAUUCUAUAGUGAGUGAUGCAUGUGGAUACAUUUUUUUUGCAUGUGGCUACAUUUUUUUUCUGUAAAUCAUUUUCAGAACGCAAUCACAUUAUGUUGGACAGCUUUAUUGCUUUCUCCAUGUUUUUGAAAUGUAUAAGCAUUUAAAUGACCUUUUACAGACUACUUCUACAAACGAGGCUACACUUGUGGCAGCACCUAUUCCUUUGGCACCCCAUCUUCUGCACUUCUUGUCGCCCCCCUCCACCUAUACCACUUUCUGUGGCCCCUCCACCAUUCCCCGAGGCUUAUCGUCCACCUUCACCACACUUUUCUGUUGGUGUUGGUGAUGACAAUGAUGUUGACCUCCAAACACUGCUGAAGUUAAUGAGAUGCCAACCAAAUGAAUGUGAUGAUGGACAAUGUUUAUGAUUGCGCAAUGAGAGGCUUUAAGAGAGCCCACUUUAAUCCGGAAGCAAAGGUAUACAUGGUUUUUAGGGAUGCUGACGGAAAAGGGGCAGCUGAUGAGGGUGGUCCCUCAAGAGAAUUUCUCUGGCUGCUAAUGAGUGCCAUCCAUUCCUCUGCAAUAUUUGAGGGACCUGAUUGACAAAAAUGCCUUUCUUGAAACUCUCAAGCAACAUGGGGGUGUAGAGACACAUUUUUUCAGAGAGGCUAUACAGGCAAGUGUGUGGCCUACAACCUCCUGUGCCAGAACUGAAAUAAUUUGCAGAAUAUGACUUCAGACAGAAGUUGGAGAAGUUCAAUAAACAAUCUAAGAUCCAGUUAGCACAAACUGUUGACGAGGCACAGGAAGUGGUCAUGUUGGGUCCAGUGCGAUACAUUCGUACAUUGGAGAGGGAUGCCCUGGUGGAGUCAGCCACAAAGUUCUACUUAGAAAGCAGGAUACGGGAUGCUCUUGAGCAAUUCAAAGAGGGUCUGGAGUGUCUAGGUCUCCUGUCUUACAUGAAUAGACACUCAAGCCUCUUCAGAGAGGUUUUCAUCUAUGCUGAGAAACCUCUUUUGGCCAAAGACAUAGCUUCUCUCUUCCACGCAGAGCGCUCCCCACCUGGUACCAAUCAAAGUUUUCAAAAACAUUACAAACAACCAGAAUCAAUUGGACACAGUAAUACAUGAUGCAGCUUUAAUAUUUAAAUAAAUGUAUGAUUUCUUAGUGGGUAAUAAAGGUAAAUAAAGAGCAAUAGAGAGAGGAGUCAUGUGUUUCUGGAGGGACUGACUUCUGGAGGUGGAAGGUUAGAUGCAAAACCAUGAUCAUUGAAGUAACACAUCAGUAAAACAUCACCUAAUCACUCUCACGACUGUGGGACAGCAUUUUGUAGCCUUAUUCUUCCAUGGGCCCCCUAAGAAUGUAAUAGAUAAAUGAAAUCCCAAACUACUUUCACUUAAGAGUAUUGUGUUCUCCAACAAGUGUUACUUAUGGACUUUAAUGUUGCAGCAAGUUUGAGGGUAGUGGAGAAGCACAAGUGGGACUUUGAGUGAAGCAACUAAGGGCAGAAAAGGAUAUCAGGGUGCCCAGGAACUUGAAGCUGCUGAUCAUCUCCAUGUCAAUGUACAAAAGAUGGGAGAAUGGUCAAGUAUCAUCUACUUUGUCAGGUCCCACAGCUCCUUCAUGUACUCAUGUGUACCGUGGUAGUGUCGGGUCCAUUCUGGGGAUACACAUUCUUAUACUGUAAAAAAUCUCAUUUGUUAUUACAGGAUUUACACCCAGAGCCUGCUAACCAGCGUGUGGGUAAGGAUGGUGUUGAAAGCAGAGCUAUAAAAGAAAAUGCACUCUGACAUAUUUAAAAAUGUAUAAUUGACAUUUGUUGGGACAAUAGGCAAACUGGGGUUGUGCAUAGUGUAGCACAAUCUAUUGUUCCAGUUUUUCAAAAAUUGAUAUCGACUGGGCUGCAGUAAGAAGCUUCGAUAUCAUAACUUCUUACAUCCUUUCCUGGUACACCCACUGACACGGGUGUAUAUUUAGCAGCUGUAGGCGUUAACUUGACGUGCAGGACCGCUUGCAGCCGUUUAUUUGACACAUGUUGAACUGCCUGCAAGCACAUUUGCACCUCUUAUUUGACGCGUGUAUGCGUUAAUUUAGCGCAUGAAGACGUUAAUGUAACGCGUUACGCGUUAAUUUAGCAGCUGCACCUGUUGACUUUACACACGUAAGCAUUAAAAAGAUCGCGCUUUGACCACGUACUUUCAGACCCAAACGGCGUUCCAUAGUGCACCCAUGUCUGAGUAGAUUGAGAGAACGAUUUGGGGAUUGUUGAGCUGCUGCUGACAGCCAGGUGGAGAGCGAAGAGGAGCAGCUUGGACGAGACUAUCCGCGGAGGGAAAGCAGAGGAUAGCACCCAGGCCAGCCAGAGAGAAGGUUUUACUUUGGUAAACUUCGAAUAGGGAAGUGCAAAUAGCGAAUAAAAAAUUAUCCAAGUUGAGGAAGACCCGCGAUCUUUACACCAGCAAAACAAAAUAAUUUGCACCAGACAACAAGGAAAGUGUUGAUUUGCUCCACCAUAAACAUAUAGUUUAAAAACUACUAGUCACAAACGACUUGACAUGCUACCAUCUAGGAUACAGGAUCUGCAUGCUGCGUGUGUGAAAUUACACAUGGAAUCAUGUAGUAACCAAAAAAAAGUGUUAAACACAUUCAAAUUGAUUUUAGAUUCUUCAAAGUGGCCACACUUUGCCUUGGUGACAG